UACGGGGGGAGCAAGCGUUGUUCGGAUUUACUGGGCGUAAAGGGCGCGUAGGCGGCCACCGCAAGUCGACUGUGAAAUCUCCGGGCUUAACCCGGAAAGGUCAGCCGAUACUGCGGGGCUAGAGUGCAGAAGGGGCAACUGGAAUUCUCGGUGUAGCGGUGAAAUGCGUAGAUAUCGAGAGGAACACCUGCGGCGAAGGCGGGUUGCUGGGCUGACACUGACGCUGAGGCGCGAAAGCGUGGGUAGCAAACGGG
rnacentral:rRNA from 1 species